AUGGGCGGAAGCCUGAACCAGCCAUGCCGCGUGCAGGAUGACUGCCCUAUGGGUUGUAAACUGCUUUUGUACGGGAAUAAACCCCUCUACGUGUAGGGGGCUGAAUGUACCGUAAGAAUAAGGAUCGGCUAACUCCGUGCCAGCAGCCGCGGUAAUACGGAGGAUCCGAGCGUUAUCCGGAUUUAUUGGGUUUAAAGGGUGCGUANCGCGGCCUUAUAAGUCAGGGGUGAAAUACGGCAGCUCAACUGUCGCAGUGCCUUUGAUACUGUACGGCUUGAAUCUAUUUGAAGUGGGCGGAAUAAGACAAGUAGCGGUGAAAUGCAUAGAUAUGUCUUAGAACUCCGAUUGCGAAGGCAGCUCACUAAGUUAGUAUUGACGCUGAUGCACGAAAGCGUGGGGAUCGAACAGGAUUAGAUACCCUGGUAGUCCACGCCCUAAACGAUGAUAACUCGAUGUUGGCGAUACACAGUCAGCGUCUUAGCGAAAGCGUNAAGUNAUCCACCUGGGGAGUACGCNCGCAANGGUGAAACUCAAAGGAAUUGACGGNGGCCCGCACAAGCGGANGAGCAUGUGGUGUAAUUCGAUGAUACGCGA
rnacentral:rRNA from 1 species